GGGCCCGCACAAGCGGUGGAGCAUGUGGUUUAAUUCGACGAUACGCGAAAAACCUUACCAGCUCUUGACAUGGGGAUUUUGGAUCUUGGAGACAAGGUUCUUCGGUUCGGCCGGGUCCCACACAGGUGCUGCAUGGCUGUCGUCAGCUCGUGUCGUGAGAUGUUGGGUUAAGUCCCGCAACGAGCGCAACCCUUGUCCCUAGUUGCUAACAGGUUAUGCUGAGAACUUUAGGGAGACUGCCGGUGACAAACUGGAGGAAGGAAAGGAUGAUGUCAAGUCAUCAUGGCCCUUAUGGGCUGGGCUACACACGUGCUACAAUGGUGGUUACAAAAAGACGCAAUAGGGCGACCUGGAG
rnacentral:rRNA from 1 species